rnacentral:rRNA from 1 species
UUACGGCCACAUCACAUUGAAACACUGGUUCCUGUAUGAUCACUGAAGUUAAGCAAUGUUGAGCCUGGUCAAUACCUAGAUGAGUGACUGCUUGGGAAUACUAGGUGCUGUAUG